UGGGGAAUAUUGGACAAUGGGCGCAAGCCUGAUCCAGCCAUGCCGCGUGAGUGACGAAGGCCCUAGGGUUGUAAAGCUCUUUUGUGCGGGAAGAUAAUGACGGUACCGCAAGAAUAAGCCCCGGCUAACUUCGUGCCAGCAGCCGCGGUAAUACGAAGGGGGCUAGCGUUGCUCGGAAUCACUGGGCGUAAAGGGUGCGUAGGCGGGUCUUUAAGUCAGGGGUGAAAUCCUGGAGCUCAACUCCAGAACUGCCUUUGAUACUGAAGAUCUUGAGUCCGGGAGAGGUGAGUGGAACUGCGAGUGUAGAGGUGAAAUUCGUAGAUAUUCGCAAGAACACCAGUGGCGAAGGCGGCUCACUGGCCCGGUACUGACGCUGAGGCACGAAAGCGUGGGGAGCAAACAGGAUUAGAUACCCCAGUAGUCCCUGAGCGGGCUGGCAAGGCGCAU
rnacentral:rRNA from 1 species